rnacentral:rRNA from 1 species
AACUAACGCUGGCGGCGUGCCUAACACAUGCAAGUCGUACGAGAAAGCCGGCUUCGGCUGGUGAGUAAAGUGGCGCACGGGUGAGUAACGCGUGGAUAAUCUGCCCUUAAGUGUGGAAUAACGUACCGAAAGGUGCGCUAAUACCGCAUAAUGCCUGGCAACACAAGUUGUCCGGCCAAAGAAGGCCUCUGUUUACAAGCUUUCGCUUCAGGAUGAGUCCGCGUACCAUUAGCUUGUUGGUGGGGUAAUGGCCUACCAAGGCUGCGAUGGUUAGCUGGUCUGAGAGGAUGAUCAGCCACACUGGAACUGAGACACGGUCCAGACUCCUACGGGAGGCAGCAGUGAGGAAUAUUGCGCAAUGGGGGCAACCCUGACGCAGCAACGCCGCGUGAGUGAGGAAGGUUUUCGGACUGUAAGGCUCUGUCGAGCGGGAAGAAGUGUACCAUGGCUAAUAUCCAUGAUAUUUGACGGUACCGCUAGAGG